CGGAAUCUGCCUAUUUGUGGGGGAUAACGUAGGGAAACUUACGCUAAUACCGCAUACGACCUACGGGUGAAAGCGGAGGACCUUCGGGCUUCGCGCAGAUAGAUGAGCCGAUGUCGGAUUAGCUAGUUGGCGGGGUAAAGGCCCACCAAGGCGACGAUCCGUAGCUGGUCUGAGAGGAUGAUCAGCCACACUGGAACUGAGACACGGCCCAGACUCCUACGGGAGGCAGCAGUGGGGAAUAUUGGACAAUGGGCGAAAGCCUGAUCCAGCCAUGCCGCGUGGGUGAAGAAGGCCUUCGGGUUGUAAAGCCCUUUUGUUGGGAAAGAAAAGCAGUCGGUUAAUACCCGAUUGUUCUGACGGUACCCAAAGAAUAAGCACCGGCUAACUUCGUGCCAGCAGCCGCGGUAAUACGAAGGGUGCAAGCGUUACUCGGAAUUACUGGGCGUAAAGCGUGCGUAGGUGGUUUGUUAAGUCUGAUGUGAAAGCCCUGGGCUCAACCUGGGAAUUGCAUUGGAUACUGGCAGGCUAGAGUGCGGUAGAGGGUAGUGGAAUUCCCGGU
rnacentral:rRNA from 1 species